CGGACGGGUGAGUAACGCGUGAGGAACCUGCCUCAAAGAGGGGGACAACAGUUGGAAACGACUGCUAAUACCGCAUAAGCCCACGGGUCGGCAUCGACCAGAGGGAAAAGGAGCAAUCCGCUUUGAGAUGGCCUCGCGUCCGAUUAGCUAGUUGGUGAGGUAAUGGCCCACCAAGGCAACGAUCGGUAGCCGGACUGAGAGGUUAAACGGCCACAUUGGGACUGAGACACGGCCCAG
rnacentral:rRNA from 1 species